AGCAUGUUGGCGCAGUGGAAGCGCGCCGGGCUCAUAACCCGGAGGACGGUGGAUCGAAACCACCACAUGCUA